rnacentral:lncRNA from 10 species
CUUAGAAAGUCAAUAUAGAUACUACAUCCUAUUGUCACCACCAUUGAAAUACAUUUGGCUUCUUUUAAUGGGAUAGUUCUUGUAUCUGUAAAGAUUUAAAUAGCUCAUAAAGAAAUAAGCAAUAAUUUAAGGAAUCUUAAGAUCAAGGAGGAGAUUGUGGUUAUAAAUGUCUGAUGGCAUCUCUACAUCUCAGGUGAAGCAUGGAGGAUUUCACAGAUGAAGUGAGUGAUACCUGAAUAGCUAUUGGAGAAUAUGUAAAAGGAGAAUACCACAUUUCCAAGUGUUUGUUAUAGCAACAACCCCAUUAUCAGUACCCAUGUUCUAUCCUAGUUUGUUUUGUGCUUCCUUGACAGAACAAGUGAAACUAGGUAGCUUAUAAUGAACAGAAAUUUAUUUAGCAAGAGCGUGGCACCUGCAUCUGAUGAGAGUCAUCCCAUGGCAGAAGAGUAGAAGGCAGAAGGAGAAACAGAGCAUGAAUCUGAAGAAGUCAUACAAACGUGAGAAAGAAGUUGAGAAAGAGAUUUUCCUGCGUAAGAAAAUGCUGUGUUUGAAAAGUCUGUUGAAAGGUCAGUCUGAAUAUAAAUAGAAACUGGCAAGAUGGAGUUCAAAGUUUUUUAGAUCUUUCCUGAUUACGAAUCCAGUCUGCUAAUGUGAAGAAGCCUGGACAAAUUUAGAGAACUGCCCCACUGAAACUAACUGUGGUGAUCAUCAAGAAAUGAAGAUUGAACCUCAAAAAGAUACUACAGAAUUCAUCUUUGUGAAUUUGGGGCUCUAGUGGAUAAUUAAUGGUUCCUGAUUGAGAUUAAUUCAAGGACAAUUGAAUGAAUAUCGCAGACCUCUUGACUCACUUAAGAGUUCAUAAACAAAUACGCAAAUUGGAGAGCGGUAGCAUUUUGAUAAAUAUUAUCCAGCUUUUUUAUAAGAUGUUAAGAGUCUCCAGAAAUAAAAAGCAGCAAC